UCGUUGAAACAUCGGUUCCCGUAAAAUCAGCGAAGUUAAGCAAUAUCGAAACUGGUCAGUACUGAGAUGGGUGACCGCUUGGAAAUAUCAAGUUUC